rnacentral:lncRNA from 1 species
GGCGGCCCUAGAAAAGGCAAAAAGACAAAAAAAAAAAAAAAAAAAAAAAAAAAAAGAAGAGUCUAGAGGAAGAGCUAGUUUCUGGUACAGAAACAGCAGCAACUGUCUAUACUUUGAAAUGAGUACAAAAGAUGCCAGAAAAUGUUAUAGUGAUCAUUAAAAAAACCAAUUCGGAGUUCCCGUCGUGGCUCAGUGGUUAACGAAUCCGACUAGGAACCAUGAGGUCGCGGGUUCGGUCCCUGCCCUUGCUCAGUGGGUUAACGAUCCGGCGUUGCCGUGAGCUGUGGUGUAGGUUGCAGAUGCGGCUCGGAUCCCGCGUUGCUGUGGCUCUGGCAUAGGCCGGUGGCUACAGCUCCGAUUCAACCCCUAGCCUGGGAACCUCCAUAUGCCGUGGAAGCGGCCCAAGAAAUAGCAACAACAACAACAACAAAAAAGACCAAUUUGAUGAGUUCGUGAUGCUUACUACAAGUCAUAUUUACAACAGAUUAUUAAUCGCUACUAAAUUCUAAACCUAGUUUAUCCUAUUAUUGACUGUUACGGAGUGCCAGUGUAUUCUAACCAACUCACACAUACACACCAUAUAACUACAAAGAUGGGUUAUAGAAUAUGUAUUUGCAGAAAUGUACCAUCUACUAAAACAAUAAACUAAACUAUAUUGUUGUUUCAUGUGUGAGUGGGAUGAACAACAUCUACUCACUGAAUAAUCUAUUUACUGCAUACAGCUUCAUAUUUAUAGAUUUUAAAGGAUGCCUAAUGCAAUAAUUAUCUAUCAGACAAAAGACUUAAUUGUAAUAGAGAUAACAAAAAUAUUAAUUAUUAUUAAGACCUAACACUAAUAUACUAAAAAAGAUAAAAGAAAGAAACCACAGCACAUAUUCUUUUAACAGAAAAAGGAAGGUUAUAUUUGGAUUUUGUUUAGAUAACUUAACAGAAAGGUCAUUACUGGGAUGCAGAGGCUCAUAUUGGAUUUUAGCAAGCAUAUUAAGACAGGGGGUUUUCAUGAUGCUGUAUUUGUCAAGAGCAUCUCACAGCUUACUUGCUAAUUAAUCUCUCUCCUUUUUAAUGAAAAAUCUUCAGCCUAGUCCCACAAGUCUAAUCAAUUAGCAGGAGUUCAUGGUCAUUUUUGUCUGAAUUGCUUAAACUUUUGAUUUAUUUCAUAAACUGUUCAUUUAUAAAAGUUUUAGAAUAUAAAAUAUGAGAUAAACUCUUCAGAUGUGUCUCACUGUUUAGGAAUAUGUCUGUUAUGUACCACUCUGUUUCAUCUCAACAAUCAGGAGGGAGAGCAGAAUGUAUAAAGGUGUGCAGUUGUUUUACUCACCUUCCUUCCCUCUUUCACUUAAACUAAGUUCCAGACGUGGAUGUUUAGUUUUUCCCUCCCUCCCCUGGGAAAUUACCUCAUGCCUUUCCUGACUCAUGAGGUAUAUACACAGAUACUGUAGGUCAUUUCCCGCUAAAGUAUUAUAUUUUGGGAGCAGAAUACUAAAAGGUUUAAAAUAACACAAGUGCAACAGUCCAAAAGUCUGAAAUUAUCUUUGGAAAACUCUGUGAUGUUUUAUAUUGCAAAAGUAGAGUGAGCAUAUUUACCAGUUAAUGAAAACUUACGUUAAAUGUUGAUGUCUACUACUAAGUAUAAUAGACAUUGUUAUGUAAGAGAAGCAAAGCUGACAAACAUGAAAUAAUAAUGGAGUAAUGCUUGGAAAAACAUGGUCAAGUGCUAAGUGAGACAGGUUAUUUUUUUUCAUUUUUUAACGUUUUAUCGAAGCAUAGUUGAUUUACAAUAUUGUAAUAAUUUCUGCUGUCAAAGUGAUUCAGUUGUACAUGUACACACAUCCAUUCUCUUUCAGAUUCUUUUCCCACAUAGAUUAUCACAGAAUAUUGGUUGGUGUUCUCUGUGCUAUACAGUUGGUCUCCAUUGGUCAAUCAUUCCAGAUACCUCAGCAUGCAUAUGCCAAUCCCAGACCCCCAGUCCAUCCCUCCCUGCCCUCCCACCUUUCCCCUUUGGUAACCCUAAGUUUUUCAAAGUGUGUGAAUCUGUUUUUGUUCUGCAGAUAAGUUCAUUUGUAUCCUCUUUUUAAGGUUCCACAUAUAGGUUAUCAUAUGAUGUUUUUCUGUUGCUGUCUAACUUCACUUAGUAUGAUAAUCUCUAGAUCCAUCCACUUUGCUGCAAAUGGCAUUAUUUCAUUCUUUUUAUGGCUAAUGUUCCAUUGUAUAUAUGUACUACAUCUUCCUUUAUCCAUUCCUCUGUUGAUGGUCAUUUAGAUUGCUUCCAUGUCUUCGUUAUUGUAAACAGUGCUCCAGUGAACAUUGCAAAUUACGGUUUUCUAGAGAAAAACAUUAUUCAAAGAGAUAGAGGUUAGCAUCUGUAGCUCCAGUUUGACCCCUAGCCUGGAAACUUCUAUAUGCCGGGAGUUCCCGUCGUGGCGCAGUGGUUAACGCAUCCGACUAGGAACCAUGAGGUUGCGGGUUCGAUCCCUGCCCUUGCUCAGCAUGUUAACGAUCCGGCGUUGCCGUGAGCUGUGGUGUAGGUUGCAGACGCGGCUCGGAUCUCGCAUUGCUGUGGCUCUGGUGUAGGCUGGCGGCUACAGCUCCAAUUCGACCCCUAGCCUGGGAACCUCCAUAUGCCGCGGGAGCGGCCCAAAGAAAUAGCAAAAAGCCAAAAAG